rnacentral:rRNA from 1 species
UAGGGAAUCUUCCACAAUGGACGAAAGUCUGAUGGAGCAACGCCGCGUGAGUGAAGAAGGGUUUCGGCUCGUAAAGCUCUGUUGUUAAAGAAGAACACGUAUGAGAGUAACUGUUCAUACGUUGACGGUAUUUAACCAGAAAGUCACGGCUAACUACGUGCCGG